GUAUAGGUGAUUACUAUGUAUCUAGUAUUGAUCGGUAUGCACAUAUAUAUAUAUGUUCCGUUUGGUCCAGAGACCUCCUCCUUUUUGUUUCGUCAGCCGAGAUGUACAGACGUACUGAAAGUUCGUGUAAAGUUUGCAAGUGUUACUUUAUUAUAAAUAGAAUUAUAUAACAUUUAUUCUUCAAUAUAAGGAAUUGAGAAAGCGGUUCUCUCGCUAUUAAAUGAGGAUGACUGACGACCAGCUGCUGCAACACAUUCAAAGCAUGAAAAAGUUCUACAUAAACUUUGCACUUUUCAAUCGGCUAUUUGCUGGGAAAGUAAGAAGCAGUCAAACGUCGCGAUGUCGACUUCAGAAGCACAGUAUGUGGCUAUUUCCGAAGCCUGUAAAGAAGCUAAUUUUCUAAAGUGGUUUUUGAGCGAACUAAGAUCUAAGAUGAAUGUGUGAGUUUGUACAACCGAACGAAAUACAUUGACAUAAAAUAUCAUUUUGUUCGCGAAGCUGUUGUUGCGAUUGUUACAUUGAAAUGACAAGCACUGUUACAAGUAGUUCUACCAUCACUUCUGCCGUCUCUAACAAUUUUCAUAAUUUGAGAACGAUAUCGAGAAGAAAUGAUGUACACGAUUCAUCAUCCCCAGAAAACAUUUCACUUUAUUUGCCAUCUUCAUCUAAUCUCGCUUUACAUGACAAACCGGUCCCAAAUCGAAUCUGAACAUGAAUUAUGUGCAAAACAACAAGAACCUCGCUCACGCGAAGAAAUUGCACUCGAGAUAAAAAUCGUACAAAUAAUCUUAUUAUCGUGAAAAUAGUAGGAUUUUCGAAAAGCAGAUUGUAGGCGAUGAAAUUGUAACAGUGCCAACUAUCGUUAUUCGACGCGUAAGAACAAAUAAUGCAUUGCACUACGAGUAGGUAGUCGUUAUAACUUAUCGUAUUUGUGGUUUGAGAGUGAACGUACGAGCAAAAUUAAGUGAAUAAAGAAAGAACGAAAAAUGAGCUUCAAUAGACAGAUGUGGAUAUAAUAAAGUUUUAAACAUUUUUAGUUUCAAAAUUAGCACUGAAUAAUUAAUACAAUGUAAAUGCCUGUAAAUCAAUUCCCAUGUCACCACUGAGUUGAUAUACGAGAGUGUGAUAAUUGGAUCUAUACAAUUUAAAUACGUUCAAAACUACUGAACUUACGUAUACAUAUACAUCUAUACUUAUGUCCAACAUGUAAAUGCAUAUACAUGUAUGUAAAUUCGAUCAUAUCGUGGAAUUUUUAUUCUCGAUUGCAUAGUUGUUUGUUCACUUAUUCUUAGCCACAACCACACAUUCGUUUUUCUUACAUUAUAAAUCAUCAAAUCAAGAAGUUGGGUAAAUUGAAACGGAAAUAUGACAAAAUGUAUCGUGCUACGAAUCAGUUAAAUAUGAAAAUAUUUUAGAAUAAAUCCGCAAAAUUUUUUUAUAUUCUACAUAGUUGUAACUAAAACAACACAAAUGUUUACUAAAAAAUCAUCAUUCGUUUAAUGAAAAAUCAAACUCGCGUAUUAUGCUAAGACUGAGCAAUUAAUAUUAAAUAAGGUACGGAUUAUCAUGUAUUUUUAAAAAAUUCUAAAAUACAAAUUUGCAAGAAAUGCACAUUAUAUAAAAUAAUGUAAAAAGUGUUCAAAGCACAGUUGUAAAUAGUUGCUACGAAAAACAAUUUUCUAUUUGUGCUUUUAUUUCUUUAGUUAUGUUCUGAAAAACGUGAAUUUGCAUAAAAAUUUUCAGUUUCUUUAAGGCACGUGUAAGUCUAAGGUAAUAGAUUUUUAAAAACAUGUAUGAAAAAAAUUAUGAAACUAGUGCGACAUAAUCUUAUACAUAAUUUAUAUAUUCAUGAGUAUUAAAAAUAAACCUUAAAAAUAAUUUUGUUGAAAAGCCAUAUACUAAAAGUUAGAUUGCACUUAUUCUCGACAAUAGUGGUGAAAAUCUCUAGUUGGAAAUACAUUUAGCUACAUUAUUACGAUAGUGUUGUAAGCAGUUCGCAUAUAUUGAUAUUUCCGAAAUUUGAUUUUGGAGAAUAAAAAGAAGUCACACAAAUUUUGAGAUUUGGCGAAUAUAGAAACCAUAUAAUAAUAGAAAUACUCUGUUUGAAUAAAAAAGGAAUUGUAGUGUAAUAUAGAACGUUGUUAUAACAUAACAUUCAAAAAUUUGCACUGUCUCGAUCACCAUUCGUUCCUUUUUUUAAUUUCUCAAAGAUUUUAUGAUGGCAUCAUAUUUAGUAUAUUCAAGAUAAUAUAUUAUAGUAUUUCUUUAUCAUAAGUAUGGUUGUCGACGAGAAGAUAGACAAUAGAUACUUGGUAAACUAUUCAGGAGUUCUUCCAUUAUUUCAUAUCUUUUUAGUAGCAUCGUACUUGGAAUGAAUGAUUCUGUCGUCUGUUAGACUCUGUCCUCAGCAGUACUUUUUAAGAUUCUUGACAUACAGACAUGAUAAUCCUUUAGCGUAUAGUGAUUACGAUUAAUUGGCACAAUCAUGUACAUAUUCGAUACUAAUUCUUCAGAGUUAUGUAGGAUUAAUAAACUUGCACUGCUGCAUGACGUUAUAAAUAAUGGAAUCAACAAACUUCGUUUAUUGAAACUGAUUAAUUUCAAUGUGUUCCUUCACAUCAGACACGUUUUCUUAUUUCAUGUGCUUCGAUUCGUUGACACAGAUAUGACACAGAAGAUACGGUUGACAGGAAUAUACGAUACAGCAAAUAAAUAUUCGACUUGACUGACUUUUUCUUCGACUCGCAGCUGCAGUGUAAAAAGAAUUGCAUUUGAUACAGAAUGGAAUAUGCUCUUGAUAGUAAGUCAUAUAUACACCUCUCUACAUUCCACUUAUCUUGUACUAUUUCAUAACGGUACACCAAUCUUGAUUUUGUUGUAAAAAUAAAUAUCACUUAUAUUUUUCAAAAUUAUCUUGUAUUAUUGUAGGACAAUCUUGAAUUUAUCGUACAAGAAUAAAUAUUACUGAAAUUAUUUUGCUGCAUGACAAUCUUGACUUUAUUCUAAGAGAAAAUGUUCGUCCCAUGCAUCUUUUACAAUAGUAUGCAUUAUUUUAAUUUUGAACAAUCUUGAAUAAUCUUGGAACUUGAAGAACAAGUGUUAUCUGUGUCAAUGUAGUGAGAUUUUGCCCGAUAAUAAAUGAAAUUCAAUUCAAUAAAGAAUACUAUUGAUUUCACAUUUGUUCGUUUUUGUCUUCUGUAACGAAGUGUGCCUGUCUGCCACUUCAAUCUUAGCUUGAUUUGAUAAACCACGGUUUAUCACUUGGAUAUGUCUCGCAGGAAAUUUUCAUCAUUUUCGAUUCGUCGAGGAAGAUAUAAGCACAAGUCUCUUCUUUUCCUCUUCUAUUAGUUUGUGAACUUUUCAAAACCAAAUUCGCUAUUUGCUUGGUCGCACUACUAGAACAAGUUUUAGGGAUGCUUUUCCUCCAAUUACAUUUCAUACCACUUAUAAACUGUGGAAACUUUUGAAAUAUUCGCAUAUAGCAAUUGCUUGCUGUCCACUGACAAUCUGAAAUUAUUUCAGAUAGUAAUGAGUAGAAUGUACCACACGAUGCAAGUGUUUCAUGCUAGCAAAAUUUUCUUAACUAUUUUCUAAAUAUAGCUGCAACGUAAUGCAUUUCAUUCGUAAACAUAAAUUUAUGUUAUUUCUUUGUAUCAUUUAGAAUACUCUUCUUCCUUCUGUCUACGUCAUACAUGAUCUAGACGUAAUUAUGGAUUUAUCACUAUCUUUUUCCAAGCGAUUGUCGUUGCUAAGAACGUCGUUAGCUUUCUUGUGAGAAGUUACAGAACGCGUUGAAUAAUGAAAGAAGCUCUUUUUACUGGUUUUAAAUUAAUGUUCUAAAUGUGCUAAUAUAAUUAAGAUACUAUGUCUUGACAUAGCACUCACCUGUACAAAAACUAACAUUUUUACAUGCUUUUCACGUCAGUUUUUGUUCGUCUUUAAUAUAACUUUUUGUCUUUUUGCAAAUUGUAUUGCUCGUUUGUACUUUGAUACAUCUGGAAGCAUGGAGUUGUGAAGAAGCAGUUCUUGUGCUAACUCAAAAUGUUAAUUGAGCAGUACUGCAGCAAUAGAUAAUCAAACUAUUCAACUCUAUACGUAAAUUGUGUGCGUCAAUGCAAUUGUAGGUUAGUGGAAUUAUUAUUUACUUUGUCUUGACGUUAUUUAGAUCAACGUACUAAACAUAAACAAAUAAUUUCGUUAUAUCUAUUGUCAUAGAGACAUGAGAAGUUUCGUAUCUUAACGAGAUACAUAGAAUUUAAAGUCAAAAGAUUAAUAUGUCUGAAUGCCAUGUGAUACACUUCCAGCGUGUAAAUAAUAAUUUUAUAACUUAACUAUACCCUAGAUGAUUUCCAAUUAUCUACUGUUGAUAGUGUUCCUGAUAUUUAUUUCUAUCAUAACAACAAUGUAUUGCAACUAUAUCGUUGAUAUCUAUUUCUCGCCAAAUCUCUUUCUUAACUAUCAUAUUCGUCUCAUUACAGCAAAAUUUCAUAAAAUAUCAUUUUAAAGAUAUGUAAAUUAUCGUGUAACUUAUUUUUCUCUUCUCAAUUGAUAAUAAUUCACUCAUUAUAAUAUACUCGUCAACAUGACAGAAAGCAUAAUCGAUUUAUGUUAAGUAUAUAAGUUUUUCUACUGCUACUUGUCCGUAGGACUUACUUUUUGGUCAAAAAAGACGCAUGAUAUUUGACUUUCUUCGUUCAGAUAUUAUACAUAUCGUACGCUUCAUGAAUUAUGUACUUGUGUCAAUUUACCUUUGCAUCAAUUUAAACUGUUAAUCUACUAACUCUUUUAAUACUCUAUUACAGAAGAUCUAUUCCUACAAAUUUGUGCCGAUUUUUAUACGAUUUCAUAUUUCUGAGAAUAAGAUUGAAA